GGAGCCUAGUUCCAGUGCAAACAAAAUGUUGCCUGAAGAUGAAGAGAGGAUACGGAAAUGAAAGCCUGCGCUGUAUUUAAUAUAUAGGAAUCCAGAUCCUGAUACUGAAAUAGAAAUUGCUUUUAUUGAAACAACGAAGAUCUACAGCGUAAAUUCUUAAGCUACAGGUCCCAUAGAAGAGGACGAAGCAGCAGCGGCCUUUGCACCUUUUUCUUCAGACAUCUUCAAAAAGGUAGGUCCUGCAACUCCAGAAAAUAUGAGAAAGCACUGCUGGGGGAAGAGAAAUGCUGUUAAAGUCUGUGCUUCUUGUCUGGAUGGACUGCCAGUUACAACUAACAUACUGACAUUUUCAAACAGCUUUCCAGUAUGACCCAACAUUUAUUCCUGGGCAUCCACUCAACUUCAGCUCCCAGCAUACAUCUGAUGUUAUUUCAAUAUCUGUCGCGCUAGACCUCAUCUACUAUUCUUACUGUGCCUUAUACUUGAGGAUUUUAUCAUCUAAAAUAAUUUGGUGGGAUUCACAAGGUUGUAUACCUUGUUGUUACCCCUGUCCCUUUCCCCUGGAUUGAAAAUUAAGGUAAUAAGUUUGGAAUAUUUUGGAUUUUCUUUUAAAAACUAUACAUUAGAAAGAUUUUUUUUAAUCAGGUGCGUGUUUUAGUUAAAACUGACCAUUUCACGUGUGAAUGCUCUCAAAUACUGCUACCUUGCUAGGUGACAUAUUUUCAACUGGUUAAAUAGUUCUCAAACUUCACUCUUUAUAUAGCCAUUUCAGACCAUUCCCUGGAUGUACAGAAAAUGUAUUUUUAAGAGCCUGCAAAUUCACAGGUCUCCACAAAUUAAGUGCAUAAAACUACCAAACAGUCCGAGCAAUUACAUACUUUGCAAAGAAAAAUAAAGCGAAAACUAGAGUCAA